rnacentral:lncRNA from 1 species
AUCAUUUUUUACUCAAUGCUAAUUGGACGGACGUUUACAACAUUUAGGGAGGAAGUAGGGGUUACACCCUUGUCCUUAUUCAGCUACCACUGCAAUUGCCUUUAGCGUGUGUACCCAUGAUUCUCGUGUUACCCGAGCAUCUUUCACGUAAUCUCCAUUGCCUUCUUCACCAACAGAAACGUAGAAAAACAAACAAGGGAUUUCAAACCCUCGCUACCUAGCUGUUCCACACGAAGAAAUGGUCCAAACUCGAAAAAAGCACCGC